rnacentral:rRNA from 1 species
UACAGAGGAGCCAAGCGUUGUCCGGAUUGACUGGGCGUAAAGCGCACGCAGGCGGACGCGCGCGUGGGGUGUGAAAUCUGGCCGCUUAACGGCCAGGGGCCAUCCCAUACGGCGGGUCUGGAGCGAUGCAGAGGUCGGUGGAAUUCCCGGUGUAGUGGUGAAAUGCGUAGAUAUCGGGAGGAACACCAGUGGCGAAGGCGACUUCCUGGCCUGUUCUUGACGCUGAGGCGCGAAAGCUAGGGUAGCAAACGGG